CGGCACUGAUGGCUAUGCGACACCCCAAAGCUACUGUUUUGUCUGGUGCACUUUCAGCUUUGUUUGUUUUGACUUAUUGAGCGACCCGUUUACAAGGCAGGAGUACGACAAGAAAAGGAUGCGUCAUAUCUUUGAGCACAAUAUGGAGCUUUUUGAUCGGUACAAGGAGCUCAUCUUUACUUGCAAUGGCCUUGGGAUGAAGAAUUUUCUUUGGUGAAUUGCAGAACUUUUAAGUUAGGUGAUAUGUAUAGCCUUUGUAUGUUGAGUUAGAGACAUCAGCCUUUGUAGCAGGGUUCGAGUAUUGAUCAUAGUCUGAGAGCAAGAGAAACCAUCAAUUAAGCAUUAAUCAUGUUUUUAGGUUCUCUGCUUCCACAAGUUUUUCAUUUCCUUGUUUUUUUUGUUCUUUGUUCUUUGGAAAGAUUAGAAACUUGUGUUGAAAUGUCA